CGGAGGAAAAGAAACUAACAAGGAUUCCCCUAGUAACUGCGAGUGAAGCGGGAAAAGCUCAAAUUUAAAAUCUGGCAGUCUUUGGCUGUCCGAGUUGUAAUCUAGAGAAGUGUUAUCCGCGCUGGACCGUGUACAAGUCUCCUGGAAUGGAGCGUCAUAGAGGGUGAGAAUCCCGUCUUUGACACGGACUACCAGGGCUUUGUGAUGCGCUCUCAAAGAGUCGAGUUGUUUGGGAAUGCAGCUCAAAAUGGGUGGUAAAUUCCAUCUAAAGCUAAAUAUUGGCGAGAGACCGAUAGCGAACAAGUACCGUGAGGGAAAGAUGAAAAGAACUUUGGAAAGAGAGUUAAACAGUACGUGAAAUUGCUGAAAGGGAAACGCUUGAAGUCAGUCGCGUCGUCCAGGGAUCAACCUUGCUUUUGCUUGGUGCACUUUCUGGUUGACGGGUCAGCAUCAAUUUUGACCAUUGGAAAAAGAUCAAGGGAAUGUGACAUCUUUGGAUGUGUUAUAGCCCUUGGUUGCAUACGAUGGUUGGGAUUGAGGAACUCAGCACGCCGCAAGGCCGGGUUUUUAACCACGUACGUGCUUAGGAUGCUGGCAUAAUGGCUUUAAUCGACCCGUCUUGAAACACGGACCAAGGAGUCUAACAUGCCUGCGAGUGUUUGGGUGGAAAACCCGAGCGCGUAAUGAAAGUGAAAGUUGAGAUCCCUGUCGUGGGGAGCAUCGACGCCCGGACCAGACCUUUUGUGACGGUUCCGCGGUAGAGCAUGUAUGUUGGGACCCGAAAGAUGGUGAACUAUGCCUGAAUAGGGUGAAGCCAGAGGAAACUCUGGUGGAGGCUCGUAGCGAUUCUGACGUGCAAAUCGAUCGUCAAAUUUGGGUAUAGGGGCGAAAGACUAAUCGAACCAUCUAGUAGCUGGUUC
rnacentral:rRNA from 1 species